rnacentral:RNase_P_RNA from 1 species
GAGCCCCAAUAAGGGGAAGACGGAGAAAUCCGAGGAAACUCCAGCCUCCAGGCUCAGAAGAGUCUCUAGAGAGACAAGGAUAGUAUCCUUGGCUCCUACACAGAAAAAUACUCUUAGGAAUUCACAUGAAAAUGAUUUUAACUUCUACUCUAGCAAUAGAGUAGAAGAAAUGAUGAGAAUUCCUAAGAGUUGAAAAGUAGACCUCUUCGGAGCAAGUAUGGGAGCUUAUGAAAAGAGCCUGAGGCUCCCAGUGACGCCUCAGUUAAAUUUCCCCAAAUUACAAAAGCUGGGUUAUUAUUGGGGCUC